AAGGGUGUAGGGAAACCGAAGCCCGACAGUACCGCAAGGCCCCGGCCGAGCGGAUAGUGCAGGUAAUCAAGCUGCCUAGAAAAGCUCCUAAGCUUCAGAUGCAAAUACCAGUACCGUAAACCGACACAGGUGGUCGAGGAGAGUAUCCUAAGGCGCUCGAGUGAUUCACAGCUAAGGAACUCGGCAAAUUCGUCCUGUAACUUCGGGAGAAGGGACGCCUACCCUCGCGAGAGGGAGGCCGCAGUGAAGAGGCCCAGGCGACUGUUUAGCAAAAACACAUGGCUUUGCGAAUUCGAAAGACGACGUAUAAGGCCUGACACCUGCCCGGUGCUGGAAGGUUAAGAGGGGGGGUCAUCCGCAAGGUGAAGCUCUGAAUCGAAGCCCCAGUAAACGGCGGCCGUAACUAUAACGGUCCUAAGGUAGCGAAAUUCCUUGUCGGGUAAGUUCCGACCUGCACGAAUGGUGUAACGAUCUGGGCACUGUCUCGGCUGUGAGCUCGGUGAAAUUUACUGCCGGUGAAGAUGCCGGCUACCCGCAAUGGGACGAAAAGACCCCGUGAACCUUCACUACAGCUUUGCAUUGACAACGGGCCAGGGAUGUGUAGGAUAGGUGGGAGGCUGCGAACCGGUAUCGCCAGGUAUCGGGGAGCCAGCGGUGAAAUACCACCCUUCCCUUGCUUGUUGCCUAACCCCGCGAGGGAGACAGUGCAUGGCGGGUAGUUUGACUGGGGUGGUCGCCUCCAAAAGGGUAACGGAGGCUUCCAAAGGUCUGCUCAGCACGCUUGGUAACCGUGCGUAGAGUGCAAUAGCAUAAGCAGGCUUGACUGAGAGACUUACAAGUCGCACAGGUAGGAAACUAGGGUAUAGUGAUCCGGCGGUACCGCGUGGAAGGGCCGUCGCUCAAAGGAUAAAAGGUACUCCGGGGAUAACAGGCUGAUCUCCCCCAAGAGCUCAUAUCGACGGGGAGGUUUGGCACCUCGAUGUCGGCUCGUCACAUCCUGGGGCUGGAGAAGGUCCCAAGGGUUCGGCUGUUCGCCGAUUAAAGUGGCACGCGAGCUGGGUUCAGAACGUCGCGAGACAGUUCGGUCUCUAUCUAUUGCGGGCGUUAGACGUUUGAGAGGGGCUGGCCUUAGUACGAGAGGACCGGGUCGGACGAACCUCUGGUGCACCUGUUGUGACGCCAGUUGCAGCGCAGGGUAGCUAUGUUCGGAAGAGAUAAGCACUGAAAGCAUCUAAGUGCGAAACUCGCCUCAAGAUGAGACGUCUUUAUAAGGGUCCUGGGAGACGACCAGGUUGAUAGGGUGUAGGUGUAAGUGUAGAAAUAUACUCAGCCGAGCACUACUAAUUACCC
rnacentral:rRNA from 1 species